CUCUCUCUAGCUAUAGAUAGGCUUUUCUCUCUCACGCAUACAAUCUCAGAUCUGUGUAUGUACAGUAAAAAGAUAGACGUAUAUUUGAUGUUCAGUUUGCAUUUAUCGCGGCGGUCUCUCAUUCGCUUGGUGCAGGUCGGGACCUGCCUCGCCGGCGACAAUGACGUCUGCUGACGGUGACGGUGGCGUAUCGAUAGAUAUACAUGUUGUUUAUGACGAAGUUUUGGUCCCGCCUUGCAUCAACUGAAUCGGAGACUGCGGUGAAUUUAAUUUGUUUCAAGUAAAUCAGCUUUGUUAUGGAUCCAUCUAAUAUCUACCGCUUGUUUCCUGUGAGCUGAACUGAAUGUGAACCUGAGCUAUUGAAUUUAGGCUGUGCUGUGUGGUAACAGUUGUCUUGGACUGGCUUAAGACCUGAAGCAAGAAAUGGACUGUGAUUGAAGGCAACACUUCAAAGACUAGCAGAGGAUGGUCUACUACCUUAGUUACCACGUGAAACUGAUAACACAAGGUGAUGGGUGGGAAAAUAUGACCCCUCUCCUUAUACGUUGUUCCAUUUUGUUCACAUUUGUAGAGUACCCCUUCUUUUAUCCACCAUUAUUGGAUGCUUAAUUUUGUGAAUGAUGAAGUCAUUCCUGUAGAUCUAGCACAUCUGCUGCUGGGAAAAUGGAAGAUGGAAAGUAAUUGUUUUUUUUGUCCAAAUGCCAGAACGCAUAGGGUUUAACUUUAUUGUUGCUUCUAAUUUGUGAACUACCGAUCCAGUGUAGCUAUAUUAUCUAAUUUAAUAGGCUUAAGGGUGCUUUACUGAUUU